rnacentral:rRNA from 1 species
UAACUGGGCGUAAAGGGCACGCAGGCGGUGACUUAAGUGAGGUGUGAAAGCCCCGGGCUUAACCUGGGAAUUGCAUUUCAUACUGGGUCGCUAGAGUACUUUAGGGAGGGGUAGAAUUCCACGUGUAGCGGUGAAAUGCGUAGAGAUGUGGAGGAAUACCGAAGGCGAAGGCAGCCCCUUGGGAAUGUACUGACGCUCAUGUGCGAAAGCGUGGGGAGCAAACAGGAUUAGAUACCCUGGUAGUCCACGCUGUAAACGAUGUCGAUUUGGGGGUUGAGCUUUAAGUUUGGCGCCCGUAGCUAACGUGAUAAAUCGACCGCCUGGGGAGUACGGCCGCAAGGUUAAAACUCAAAUGAAUUGACGGGGGCCCGCACAAGCGGUGGAGCAUGUGGUUUAAUUCGAUGCAACGCGAAGAACCUUACCUACUCUUGACAUCCAGAGAACUUUCCAGAGAUGGAUUGGUGCCUUCGGGAACUCUGAGACAGGUGCUGCAUGGCUGUCGUCAGCUCGUGUCGUGAGAAG